GAUAGGGUCGCAGUGAACACGAGCAGCUGCAUCCACUUCGGACUUCUUGUGAGCGAAUAAACUAUAAAAAUAAAAAAAAUUACAAAAGGGGUCGAGGACACAAAAUGGCCGUUGUGGUUGAGGGUGCCUGAUUGCCAUGGUAACGCCUGCGGGGAGGUAGGUGAUGCAGCAGCUGCCUGGUGCGCUUUUAUUGAGGAGCUGAGCAGCUGGUUUCCGCUCUACUUCACCUGCAGACUGGGAGCCAACCAAGUAUAAACAAACAUUAAGGACUCAAACUUGAAAUCAGAAGUGUGAUUAUUAUUUUAUGAAUUAAAGCGAGAUUCCAUCUGAAGCAACACGUCAGUGAGAUAUGAGAAAACUCGACCAGUGGAGAGUUUGACCAACAAAUAUUAAAGGUUGUGAGAUUAUUCAUGUAAGAAAAUAAGACGUUAUUCCAUUAGAAACAACAUUUAUGAUACGCAGUCAUUGUUAUUUUAUGAUGAAUCUCCAUUCAUAUAUUCUGGGGAAGAGGUAACUAGUAUACGAGUACGACUUGGAGGUACUUGUAUAUCGUUCCAUUCUUAUUUAAGCUUCUCCUCCAAUGACAUCGAGCUACACAUGUGUGAAUGUGGGAAAGCGUGUGUACAUCGUGGCACCUACUCUGAGUGUGGAGAAAUACACAACAUACGAUCAUAAUCAGUAUAAGUAUGUAAGUAAAUAGCGUAUCUGUACAUGUUGUUAUAGAAGUAGUUGCAUAUGCUCCUCCUCGGCCUGUCAGAUUAAACGUUAUUACUUAAUUACAGAAAAUUAUCGGAUUAUAAAACACAGACGAAGUCAAUGAUGCAUUUUUAUUAUUUAAGUAGAUUUGUAAUUCAAGAUUAUGAAGUUUCUGGAUAUUCUUUCUUUGUGGUAUUAUUACUUUGUGGUCCAGGUUUUUGGAUCAUUAAGUAACUAAAAGUAGGUAUACAAAAAUAUGAAAAUACUUUCUUUCAAGUAAAGUCCUGCAUUUACACUGUAAAAGUAUGAUCUGCUAAAUUGACUUCAAGUAUCAGACCUAAAAGUAUUCAGAUUGUCAGUUAAGACAAUCUAAAAGUUUAAGAUUUGUAAAAUUUUACAAUUUCAUAAUUUCAUAUCUUUUCCACACACAUUACCGUGAUGAAUAAUAAUUCACGAUGUUCUUUACUUCUCCAAAGCCCGUAAAGUGUCUGUGGAUUGUUAUCAUUUCUGUCGAGUUAAAAUGUAAACAGUGUGUGUUAUAUAAAAAGUAAUUAUUUGUUUCAUGGCCGUCUGGGGUGUAUUUAAAGCAGCGCAUGGCGCGGGCUCUGAAUGUUAAAGUGGAGGUUACUUCCCGCUGCACAACGAACAAUAUUUCCCUCUGCUUCACACAGUGGAAAUAAGAAGUUGUGUAAAAUACAAAUUACACUUUGAGCCACUGUGACCUGAAUAUGAAAAUAAAAUGAAUCCAACCCCACUGAUUACACCCAUCGUCCGAAAAACAAUGAGCGGCGGACGCAGCGAAGGAUUCUGGGAGGCCGGGUUACCGAUCCAUUGACUGUAUUGUCCACGCAGGGUGUUUAAACGUGCGGAUUAAGCCUGAAUUUACACGUGUAAUCCAAGGCCGCCAACGUUAUCCAAUUCCACAAGGUCACCGAAAACAGCCGAGGCCUCCGAGGAAAAUGAGAUUUACACCUAAACGGUGUGUGUGUGUGUGUGUGUGUGUGUGUGUGUGUGUGCCCAAGCUCUUCUUGUUUUUGAGGCUGAAC
ensembl:lncRNA